UUGCAUGGAGUCUAUGUCUGGA
rnacentral:miRNA from 1 species